UACGUAGGGGGCAAGCGUUGUCCGGAUUUAUUGGGCGUAAAGAGCGUGUAGGCGGCCAAGCAGGUCGCUGUGAAAACUCGAGGCUCAACCUCGAGACGUCGGUGGAAACCGUUUGGCUAGAGUCCGGAAGAGGAGAGUGGAAUUCCCGGUGUAGCGGUGAAAUGCGCAGAUAUCGGGAAGAACACCCGUGGCGAAGGCGGCUCUCUGGGACGGUACUGACGCUGAGACGCGAAAGCGUGGGGAGCGAACGAGG
rnacentral:rRNA from 1 species